GUGAGUCGCGACGGUCGGAUUUUCGGAAGAACCCCAACUUGUUUUGCGUGUUUUGUGCCGUGGGAAGGUUUCUUUUGUCAGUGUAUUCGUGCGACUGUAUGUGUGCGUGUUUAUGUCCGGCGUUAAGGUGCACGGCCGUUCUCCCCGCAGUUGAUUUGUGCGGUUUCGUUGGUUCUUCUUGGGAAGGAGCUGCAGGCCUUCGAGCCCGCCGUCCUCCGGUGUGUCCCCAAUCGCGCGCGUGAGACGACGUCUUGUUCCGUGCAAGAGGACGGGACGACGACGAGGUCAAAGGGGAUCACCAUCUCUCGGUCGUGUUGAGACUUGGGAGUGCUGUGCGUGUCCAGAGAGCGGAACAAGAAGAGACUUGUGGGAAGUGUUUUGGGUUUGGGAAAAACAGAGGGCUGAUGUGAUCUUGGCUCCAGCAGGAGAGAGUUUGGUGGAACCGUUUUGACGUUGUGUAUGUGCAUUUGCUAAACUGGCAUCUUGUUUUUACCCCAUUCUGUUCUGUGCCGUAUUUGAUGAACAUUUUUGACACAAUCUCCGCAGCUAUUUACGAUAAUCUUUCGUCUUCUGUGCGACGAGUGUCUGUGUUUUGUGACGAGCUUCUAGCUUAGAAGACAUCGCGGCGGAGUGUGCAAGAAACGCAUCAACGAUUUUAUGAGUGCGAUUUAGCUGAAGUUGAAUACAUGAGUUUUCCGGCUGCGCUCGUUUGACAGAUGCUGCAUUGAAGGUUGGCGCUAUAAAUAGCAAAGGACUCAUCCAUCAUAGGGAAAAUCGAUCAGCUGACAUUGCGUGCAUUAGUGGAGGAGUGAAAGUGUGUGCGAGAGAGAAGAGAGAGUGGCGGUGCGUAUAAUUUAUAUCGUGAUUUGGAUAGUCUCGAAAAAGCUGCCGGAACCAAUUAGCGGUAGAAACAUUCGCAAAGUGAUUAAUGAAGCCCUAGAUUACAAAAAGGUCGGCCUGGAAAACUGCUAUAUCGAGUAAAGCAAAAAGCUAUCCCCAUUCCAAGAAGUAAGACAAAACCCGAGUUGACCUAAUAUCUCGCGUUUUGUUCCGUUCGUGUCGCGGGUUCACUGUACGCGUGGAAGAAACUAAGUCGCCCGGAAGUAAGGUGGCGAAAAAAGAACUCGUCAGCUAACUUUUUGCCCGCAUCGGGGAUAAAGUGGGAAGAAGCUCCGAGCAGGUGAUGUGUCAUCCACCAAAGCAAAAGAAAGCGAAAUUAUAAAUGAUUAGCAUUAUCGCCGUUAAAAGUGUGAAAAAUCUCGGAAGCGAAGAGGAAGAAUAAAUAAAAUAAGUGUCGCACGGAAAACAACAAUCAUAGGUGUGUCAACAACGACUAAUCUUCGUACUGCAGCGGUCGAGUCGGCGUGACAAACGGUGCGUGAAAAGAAGCGUAGAGAGUGAGUUCCAGGCGGCGAGGUGCCGAUUGUUGCGUGAUUUCAGACGACUGAUCAUUUGGUGCAAGUAGGCGUAGGAAAAGCGUGUUUAAUAGUGUUGUUUUUUUUUAUUGUUGUUCGUUGCCAUCUUAGAAGGCGUCCAUCGAUUUGCGAAGCUUAAAUGUGCGAUCCAUUCGUGGAAGGGACGAUACAGGAGAAACGAUAAAACCGAUAAUCAUGUGUCUGUGACGAUAUUUUUUUCCCCUGGUGAAACUUCAGAUAUUACCGCGAGUGUGGCAAGUUGGCAGCUUGGCCAUUGAAGGAAGAAGUGAAGUGAAGGUGGUGUGCAUAGUGAACUCGAGUGUGGCAAAUGGUUGACGACGACUAUUCGCGCCUCGGUUUUUUGACAUCGCGCUGGAUUUUGGCAAUGCUGAGUUGCCUUUCUCGGUAGAUCCGUGUAAGCCAUCCACCAAUCGGACUGCGAGGCGACUAAUUUGAGAAGUAAGUUCCAGAUAUGCCAUCAUGUGAUACCAAAGCACCGAUCACCUCUAAACACUGAUCUACAUGUGAAAUCAAAUAUUCCGGUCACAACUUCAACCCAGUGCAAAUCCAACAAAUCGUGCAAACAG